rnacentral:rRNA from 1 species
GCCCAAAAGAGGGGGAUAACACUUGGAAACAGGUGCUAAUACCGCAUAACCAUGAACACCGCAUGAUGUUCAUGUAAAAGACGGCUUUUGCUGUCACUUUUGGAUGGGCUGCGGCGUAUUAACUUGUUGGUGGGGUAACGGCCUACCAAGGUGAUGAUACGUAGCCGAACUGAGAGGUUGAUCGGCCACAUUGGGACUGAGACACGGCCCAAACUCUACGGGAGGCAGCAGUAGGGAAUCUUCCACAAUGGACGAAAGUCUGAUGGAGCAACGCCGCGUGAAUGAAGAAGGCCUUCGGGUCGUAAAAUUCUGUUGUCAGAGAAGAACGUGCGUGAGAGUAACUGUUCACGUAUUGACGGUAUCUGACCAGAAAGCCACGGCUAACUACGUGCCAGCAGCCGCGGUAAUACGUAGGUGGCGAGCGUUGUCCGGAUUUAUUGGGCGUAAAAGGGAACGCAGGCGGUCUUUUAAGUCUGAUGUGAAAAGCCUUCGGCUUAACCGAAGUAGUGCAUUGGAAAACUGGAAGACUUGAGUGCAGAAAGAGGAGAGUGGAAACUCCAUGUGUAGCGGUGAAAAUGCGUAGAUAUAUGGAAAGAAACACCAGUGGCGAAAAGCGGCUC